GACGAACGCUGGCGGCGUGCUUAACACAUGCAAGUCGAACGGAAAGGCCCUGCUUUUGUGGGGUGCUCGAGUGGCGAACGGGUGAGUAACACGUGAGUAACCUUCCCUUGACUUUGGGAUAACUUCAGGAAACUGGGGCUAAUACCGGAUAGGAGCUCCUGCUGCAUGGUGGGGGUUGGAAAGUUUCGGCGGUUGGGGAUGGACUCGCGGCUUAUCAGCUUGUUGGUGGGGUAGUGGCUUACCAAGGCUUUGACGGGUAGCCGGCCUGAGAGGGUGACCGGCGACAUUGGGACUGAGAGAGGGCCCAGACUCCUACGGGAGGCAGAAGUGGGGAAUAUUGCACAAUGGGCGGAAGCCUGAUGCAGCAACGCCGCGUGCGGGAUGACGGCCUUCGGGUUGUAAACCGCUUUCGCCUGUGACGAAGCGUGAGUGACGGUAAUGGGUAAAGAAGCACCGGCUAACUACGUG
rnacentral:rRNA from 1 species